UGCCAGCCGCCGCGGUAAUACGGAAGGUGCAAGCGUUAAUCGGAAUUACUGGGCGUAAAGCGCGCGUAGGUGGUUUUUUAAGUUGGAUGUGAAAGCCCUGGGCUCAACCUAGGAACUGCAUCCAAAACUGAAUAACUAGAGUACGAUAGAGGGAGGUAGAAUUCAUAGUGUAGCGGUGGAAUGCGUAGAUAUUAUGAAGAAUACCAGUGGCGAAGGCGGCCUCCUGGAUCUGUACUGACACUAAGGUGCGAAAGCGUGGGUAGCGAACAGGAUUAGAUA
rnacentral:rRNA from 1 species